GACGAACGCUGGCGGCGUGCUUAACACAUGCAAGUCGAACGGAAAGGCCCUGCUUUUGUGGGGUGCUCGAGUGGCGAACGGGUGAGUAACACGUGAGUAACCUGCCCUUGACUUUGGGAUAACUUCAGGAAACUGGGGCUAAUACCGGAUAGGAGCUCCUGCUGCAUGGUGGGGGUUGGAAAGUUUCGGCGGUUGGGGAUGGACUCGCGGCUUAUCAGCUUGUUGGUGGGGUAGUGGCUUACCAAGGCUUUGACGGGUAGCCGGCCUGAGAGGGUGACCGGCGACGUUGGGACUGAGAGACGGCCCAGACUCCUACGGGAGGCAGCAGUGGGGAAUAUUGCGCAAUGGGCGGAAGCCUGAUGCAGCAACGCCGCGUGCGGGAUGACGGCCUUCGGGUUGUAAACCGCUUUCGCCUGUGACGAAGCGUGAGUGACGGUAAUGGGUAAAGAAGCACCGGCUAACUACGUG
rnacentral:rRNA from 1 species